rnacentral:rRNA from 1 species
GACGAACGCUGGCGGCGUGCCUAACACAUGCAAGUCGAACGGAGAUAUGAUUUCGGUUGUAUCUUAGUGGCGAACGGGUGAGUAACGCGUGAACAACCUGACUCUAAGAGGGGGAUAACACUCGGAAACGGGUGCUAAUACCGCAUAAGACCACGACCUGGCAUCAGGAUGAGGUCAAAGGAGCAAUCCGCUGAGAGAGGGGUUCGCGUCCCAUUAGAUAGAUGGCGGGGUAACGGCCCACCAUGUCAACGAUGGGUAGCCGAGCUGAGAGGCUGAUCGGCCACACUGGAACUGAGACACGGUCCAGACUCCUACGGGAGGCAGCAGUGGGGAAUAUUGGGCAAUGGGCGCAAGCCUGACCCAGCAACGCCGCGUGAGGGAAGAAGGGCUUUCGGGUUGUAAACCUCUGUCCUUGGUGACGAAACAAAUGACGGUAGCCAAGGAGAAAGCCCCGGCUAACUACGUGCCAGCAGCCGCGGUAAU